rnacentral:rRNA from 1 species
GUGUCAGCAGCCGCGGUAAUACGUGGGGUGCAAACGUUGCUCGGAAUCAUUGGGCGUAAAGCGCACGUAGGCGGCCAACUAAGUCUGACGUGAAAGCCCUCGGCUUAACCGAGGAAGUGCAUCGGAUACUGGAUGGCUUGAAUCUCAAAGAGGGUUGCGGAAUUCCCGGUGUAGAGGUGAAAUUCGUAGAUAUCGGGAGGAACACCAGUGGCGAAGGCGGCAACCUGGUUGAUGAUUGACGCUGAGGUGCGAAAGCGUGGGGAGCAAACAGGAUUAGAUACCCCUGUAGUCC